rnacentral:lncRNA from 1 species
ACUGAUUUUCCCCCUCAUUAUUAUUUUCCUGCACAGGUUAUCCCCUUUAAGUAUUUGAAUUUUGAAUAUAUUAUUCUGAAUCAAUACUCUAUCUGUCCGUGUAGCAUUUUAUAUAUGCUUUAUGAUGUUUACCAAUAAUUACCCACUAUGGGGUAUUUGAAUUCUGAAUAUAUUAUUCUGAAUCAAAACUCUAUCUGUCCGUGUAGGAUUUGUUUUGGGACAUGACUGAGGAUGCUCCUGUGGAAGAUGUAAUCCCAAUUCUCGUGGCUGCCUUCCAUUGCCAACUGAACAAGCUUCGUUUUUUCUGCAUCCAGAGAAUUGCAAGGUCAAAUCUUGACAAUGUUUGUCUCGAGAAAGAGCUUCCCGAUGAAGUUUCAAGAGAAAUCAAAUCACUCCGUGUCAAAUCUAACCAGGAGUCUGAAGCUAUUAUAGCAGAAGUGGAUCCCAUGCAUGCAAAAAUAGUCAGUAGAAUCCACAAGGCGCUGGACUCUGAUGACGUUGAACUGUUGAAGCUUCUUCUGGAUGUAUCUAAUGUCACUCUGGAUGAUGCUUACGCUCUGCACUAUGCUGCUGCCUACUGCAACCCUAAGGUUUUUAAGGAAGUGCUCAAUAUGGGCUUGGCUGACCUCAAUCUUAGGGAUGCAAGAGGACGUACGGUGCUUCAUGUGGCUGCAAGGCGUAAUGAGCCAGAAGUGAUGGUGACUCUGCUGAGCAAGGGAGCAUGCGCAUCAGAAACUACAUCAGAUGGGCAAACCGCUGUAGCAAUCUGUCGGAGAAUGACAAGGCGAAAGGAUUAUCUUGAAGCUACAAAGCAGGGGCAGGGAACUAACAAAGACCGGUUAUGCAUUGAUGUCCUUGAGAGAGAGAUGAGAAGGAACUCCAUGUCUGAGAACUUGGCAAUGUCAUCAGAGGUGAUGGAUGAUGAUUUCCAAAGGAAGCUGGACUAUCUGGAAAAUAGAGGUGAUAAUUUCUUUACUGGUAUUAGUUCAUCACCUUCUCAGAGUUUGUGCAUAGCACACUUCUUUCUACUGUUUGUUUGUCCAUUCAUCUGGAAAAUAGAGGUGAUAUUCCUUUGCUGGUAUUAGUAAAUCAUCUUCUCAGAGUUUGUGAGUCCCUUCAUCUUAGGAUCUCAAACACACAUGGGCUCAUUGCUUGGAGCACACUGUUGGCCAGUCGUGUGAUUUGAUCCCUUUUUUGGAAUAGACAACUCUGAAUCCAUCUGAUCUAGGCUUGGCGGUUUGCACUGAACUGGUUUUUGAUGAAUAAUUGCACAAGACUUUGUCAUCAAAACUUUUAUUUUUUGGUUUUUUUGCCCCAAAAGUAAUGAGGUACAAAAAAAAUCUAUGCCUAUCCUGGAUGACUGCCAUAACAGCUUCUUAAUAUUUUGCAGUGGCUUUUGUACGGUUGUUUCCUUCUGAAGCUAGAGUAGCUAUGGAAAUAGCAGGUGCAGAUACCGCCACUGGCCUUUCAGCAUUAGGUCAGAAAGGACUAAGUGGGAACUUAAAGGAGAUUGAUUUGAAUGAAACGCCCUCUAUGCAAGCCAAGAGACGCCAAUUGAGACUGCUAACUCUGCUUAAAACAGGUAUUUAUAUACUUUAUUAACUUUUGCACCUUUCUAUUUACUGAUUAUCUUUAUAAUUAACUAAUACAUGUAUCCAGGUUUCUCCUUCCAUUUCUAAAAGGUUUCUCCUUCCAUUUCAUUAGAAGUAAAUUGGAAUUUCUUUAUAGUGCUCUGUUAGGUGUAAUCAGAUGUAUCAAAAGAGAAAGGGUAAUUGUUAGUACAUUGAUAUCUCAACAAAAUGGUAGAACCUUUCUUUAUACCAGUAAGACAUUUGUUGCAGGUAUGCCUACAUAAUCAGUGUCCUUCAAAACUUUCAAGGAGUUAGCAAUGCCUAACCCCUGAAACACUAAAUCUCACGGGAUCAACUCUUUACCUCUAGACCGAAGGUGUGACACCCAGACCCAAUUAGGGCUUAGAACACAUAUCGAAUCUGAGUGAAACUAAAUGCCUGUAAAUCCAAAUCUCCAAAAUAUCAUAAAGUCAUCUACUUUCUCUUUUCAUGUAUUUCACAAAAUUUUGAAAAAUUCAUUCUCAAUCAUAAACUAUGCACAGCUAAUUAUUCAGCAUAUCAGUAUAGAGCAAUACUUCCUCAUAAGCAAAUAAAUCUUACAAUCCUUCUUAAAUGAUUUGAAAAAAAUACUAAUAGAAGUCUUCUAGAUACAAACAUAAACAGAAUUCAACUGUUUAAAACUAUGCCAAAACACAAGCUUCAAUCAGUAAUGCAUACGACUAAUUAUUAAAAACAUCUAGCCAGAAACCUUACGAAAGCUCAAUCCUUUCGAAGCAUUCUUCAAAUUAAUAAUUGCUACCAUCUGUGAAAAAUAAUUGACAAGGAGUCACCUGUGAACUCAAUCAGUAGAAACAUUCGUAACGAACAAAAAGAAUUCUUUGUGCAAUAUUUUCAGAAAAUUCAUUUAACCUUUCAAAUGAAACAGAGUAAUUUUUCUAACGCAGUCAGGAUUUAUAUAAAACACAAACGUUUCAGACAAAAGCUGUGUGGAAUGUAAAUUUUGUUUCUUUAAACAGAAAGUUAUAUAUUAGUUUGAUUUUAAAGGGAGGUUAUUGGGAAGUUAAAAUUGGCAGUUGCGGGAAAAGGGUAAUAGCAGUUAUAAAAUCUCUUUUAAAGCAAAUUCAAAUCAAGUUUCAAAUUUUAGGAGUACUUAAUUCAAUAAAAUAAGGAAUAAAUAAAGCUUUCAUUGAAAUAAAACUAAGUAAAUUCAUUUAAAGCAAAAAAGGAUGGGAGCAUUACUAUGGGUUCUUAUGUUUACCCGCAGUCAGACAUCUGGGACCUUGUUAUUUGGAGACAAGACUUGAUUGUGCCAUGUUUUCCGCAGCUAGACAUCUGUGGAUAAGAGAACCCUAAGCGUAUUGAGAAUAAAUUCCAUAAUCCAAGUCUCUUCAGUUCUUUCAUUUGUGGCUAAUUAGUUAUAAAAUUUGUGAAUUUCAUGCCCCAUGCCCCUUGCAAAAAUGUAUUUUAUAUCCUUAAGAUGCCAGUUGUUGAACUGAAAUAAUAAAAAAUGGAAAACAGACUUAAUGCCGAUAGCAUUUCUUAAGAAAAACUUGGGAUGUUUAUAAGUUUCUUAGAGCAUUUGCUGAACUUUCUGUGAUGGCAGUCGAGACGGGUGACCGCUACUUCCCUCAUUGCUCAGAAGUGGUUGAUCGCUUUUUGGAUUUGAACAAUCCUUCCACCCCAGAAAUGGACGACGAGAAACUUAAAGUAGACGUGCAGGAGGCAUUCUGCAAGGACGUGGCUUAUCACCGUCGUUUAGGGCUGCCAUCAUCCUGGCCGGCAUUUUACCAGUACAUGGCUAGGAGCAAUCAGUCGGCAUUUUACAAGUACGUGGCUGAGAGCAAUGGUUCACGAAUGUCGACAUCCUGGGCAGCGAGCAAUUAAGCAUCACCUUUCCCUAAAAGUUAUAUUUGACACCUGGAAAACUAAAGUAGUUGAGUGAGCUCGAUUGGUAUUUGUAGUUUCUUUUUUUUUUACUCAAGUGAUCUGGCAUAAUUAAAAGUUAUUUGUUUGUCUUCAAAGUUAUUGUAUUGUCUCAAGUCCGGUGAGAUGCGCGAACGUAUAGCAUGCAUCACAAACUCAUUUCAUAGAAUAUUUUUUUGUAUAAUUAUAUAAUUUAUAGGCUUUGCUUAAAAAAUUAAAAAAGAAAAAAAGAAUUGUAUUACAAUUGGUAUGAGGCAUGCUCGUGUGUUAUAUCAGUUGCAUGCGUGUGUUAUAUCAGUUGCUGAACAAACUUUGCCUUUUAGUUUUGUAGGCACUACCAUCUCAAAUUCUCUGUUAUCAUGAAUGAGUAUUUUUUUUCUUUUUUCUUUUUUAAGAAAUCAUAAAUGAGAUUCAGAUAAUCUUUUUAAAAAAAAAAGAAAAAAAAAUGGAGAUUUCUUUUAUUUUUCCUUAAAAAACUGAAGAAAAAUUUAGAAGGUAGUGAGAGACGGAGAAUUAAAGCAAUUUUAUUCACAAAUGUAAUGUGUUUGGUCUAGCAAUACAAACUAAUAAAUUAUAAUUUAUGAGAUUAGUUUACAUAAUCUUAUAUAUAAAAUUAUAUCCUCUGAAUAAAAAUCUUCUCACCUCUUUUGACUUCUCAUUUAGAUGCCCUCUCUAGAAUCUCUCCAGCCAUAAACACAUUUUUAUAAAACAAAACACAAAAAAAAAUUAUAUAUAGUUGUCACAAGGACUAUUUCAUUUGCACAUAAUACGCAAUUGGUCAUUAAAGUUAUUAGAGGAGAAACUUUACAUGACAUGGGUACAUCAUAUUAUUAGUAUUUUAGUUUAAAUUUUUACAUACUAGAACAGUCUCUUUUUCUCCGAUUUGAGAGAUAAUGGGGAAUGGGGUUAAAGUGCAUCUACAUAGAAUUAAUUAUAAUUAAAUUUAUUUUUUAAAACUAUUUUAACUAGAAGUAGUAGUAAUUCUUUUUACUAUUGUUAUUCCAAUUAUAUCAAAAUCUCGUGACUGGUGAUCAAAAUAAGUGGUUCAUUAAAUUUUUUUAGGUGACGUAUGGUAUGGAGUUGUUAUAAAUCUAUAUAAAAAGUAAAAUAUUUAAUUUUGCUUGUCGUAAACUUUUAAUUUGCAUGGGUUAAAAAAGAAAAAAAGAAAUUGACUUAUUAAUUAAUUAACAAUUAUAGAAAGAAUAAAUAGAAAAUUAUAGUUGCGUGAGAAAACCCUCGUGAAAAGGGCUCCGGAUUUCCUUUCCCUGGCUUCGUGCGUUUCCUUUUGCCCUUUUCGAGCACGAAUUCGAAUCCAGUACUUUAUAAUAAAGAUAUAAUAUUAAAAAAUAAGAAAAAGAAUCCCAAUUUUUACUGGUAUAUAACGCAGAGCCUGCAUUAUGAAACACUCUUUUGCUAUUGUUUUCUUUUCUUUUCUCUUUUGCUGUAAUUUUUUAUGAAACACUCUGUUUCAGUUCUGUUUCUGGUUUUGUUUCGGUUUAAUAUUAUUGGUUCCGUUUGGUUCUGUUCUGCUCUGUUCUACGUCGUAUGUAUAUAUGUAUAUAUUUUUGGCCUCGAAUUGCUUUCAUCACCGGUUUUGUUAUUCAUUUAUCGUGAAUUUUAGAUGACUUGUUCGGCCAUGUUACAUUCAGCUACCAUUUUCAUGGUGGGUUUGUAAGAUAGUCUCUGACUAACACAUGGCAUUGAUUAUGAAUGAUGGUUUUGUGAGAUACAUCAUACAGACGUUAACUCGUGUUAAUUUGUACUUACAUCAUUCAAAAGAUUACUGUUUUUCUCUCUUUUUUUUAAAAAAAAAAAAAAUUGAAAUGCCCUUUUUCGCAUUUUAUAGAUGAAAGGAAGAAACAUAAUAUCGCAGAACUAGAAUAAAGGAGCCUAUUCUGUUACCUAUUGUCCGAGGAACCUUCUGUAUAUUCGGUAGGAACUACCAUGGGAAGUCAAAUCUUACCAGAGCCAGGCGGAGUCGUUGCUGAAGGAAUAUAUAUUAGCAGAUCCAUUUGUCCCGUACACUUCAAUUGUUGGUAGCAUUUUUGCUUGCACGAUGGUAUGUUUGUCAUCGUUACUGCGUGGUGGUAUUUACUAGAAAAUAUUUUGAAUGCAUAGUUUUUAUUUAAUUAGUUAUAAAAUUUUUAUACCCUCUGUUUUCCAUAAGAAUGUGUUCCUUUUCAGGUCUAUGAUCUUGCCCAAUUGAUUAGUGUGCUGUUCACUUUAAAUCUGAUUCCAGUUUCUCCAACAUACAGCGGGUCGAGUGGAGUAACAGGUGAUUGAAAAUUUUCAUUUAGUCCAAUUGUCAUUUCUUUCUCAAUCGGUAAAGUUUAAUCAUUUUUCUUAAAUCGACAACUCAUGCAGGGCCAUAUCAACCGUCCAUGACAUUUUUAUUACAGCGAUGUCUUUGUACUUUGUGUUUUGGUCGGAUCUCAGAGUUUGUGCAUAGCACACUUGGUUCUACUGUUUGUUUGUCCCUUCAUAGACAUUUCGAUAAACUGUUAUUUUUGUUCUUUGGAAGUGAAUAUUUUCAGCAACUAGAACUCCGAAGCAUCUGGAGUGAUCCAUUUUGUCAUUCUCAAUACCUAUAAAAGAAUGUCAUAGAAAACAGUUUCCAAAGCAAGUUGCAUGUGUUUUGAAUUUGUCUUUGCAAGCCACUAAUUGCUUGGAGCGCACUGUUAGCCAGUCGUGGUUCCAUCCACUUUUUUGGAUAGACAAUUGUGCAUCCAUAUGAUCUGGACUAAACUAGUUUCUAAUAAAUAAUUGCCCAGGGUUUUAGUCUCAGUGUUACAGCCCAGUCUUUGUUGUCAAUACUCUUUCCCCUGUCGUGGAUGAGCGACAUAACAGCUUCUUAAUGUUUUGCAGUGGCUUUUGCACGGUUGUUGUUUCCUUCUGAAGCUAGAGUAGCUACGGAUAGAGCGGAUGCAGAUGCCACCAAUUUUUAUACUGGCCUUUCAGCAUCAAAAUCAAAAGGAUCAAGUGGGAACUUAAAGGAGGUUGAUUUGAAUGAAACACCCUCUAUGCAAGCCAAGAGACUCCAAUUAAGAUUGCAAGCUCUGCUUAAAACAAGUAUUCAUAUACCUUAUUAGUUUUUGUACCUUUACAAUUUGUGAUUUUUGUAUCAAAAGAGAGAGGUUAAUUUUUAGUACAUUGAUAUCUCGACAAACUGUUAGAACCUUUGCACCACUAGAGACAUUUUCUUAGAGCAUUUACUGAACCUUCUAUGAUUGCAGUGGAGACAGGUCGACGCUACUUCCCUCGUUGCUCAGAAGUGGUUGAUAAAUUUUAGGAUUGUGAUUGGGCCGAUGCUUCCCUCCUAGAAAAAGGGUACUCCUGAAGAGCAGAGACUCAAAAGGGCACGCUUCAUGGAACUUAAAGAAGACAUGAAGAAGGCAUUUUACAAGGACAUGGCUGAGAAAAAAUGGCUCAGGUUUGUAGUCAUCCUCGUCAUCGUCAUCUUCUCCGAAGGACGGAGUAAAGUGUAAGGGUAGGAAAAUGUGAUGCUUAGCUGCAUGUCUUUGUUAUUCAUUUAUUGGCAACUAAAAGAGUUUUAGUGAGUUGGCUUGUUACUUGUAGAGAGAUACUCUUAGAGCCUAUGUUAUGGCUAUGUUGUAUAAUAGCAGAGGAACUUCAAGCUUGUGUUGUUGUAUUUUCCCUGGUAUUUGGCAUGUAAUGCACUAAAUGACAAAGAAUUUUCUAAUUUUAGAGGGGAAUGUUAUGUCAGUUAAUUAUUUAUUUAUUUUGUCUGUUUAAUUCAGUUUACAUAGCUUUUUUUUUUUCUCCAAAAAAAUCUUCAUAUCUCCAUCUGCAAUUUAAGUCAUUUGUAACUUCUUUCAGGGAGGAAGGAAAAGGGAAAAAAAAGAAGCAUUUGUAAGUAUAUUUACAGUACUGAUUUUCCUACAGAAAUUGGUUAAGGUGACAUUAAUGUUCUUAGUAACAGAUGGAUAUGCAGAAUUUUCGUUGAAAUUGAAAUUAGAAAUGGAUGGAUAUGAAUGACAUAUAUUCAGAAUUUUUUAGUAGAAUGUUUAAACAAAAUUUUUUAGCUCAUUACUCUCUAGAAGGAAAAUAAAUUUUUUAUUGUAAAUAUUAAAUAUUAAAUUUAUAAUAUAAUAAAUGUGUGACUUAAGGUGCACAAUACCUAUAUAAUAAUAAUAAUUAGGACAAGAAAAAUCAAAUUUUGUAAAUUACCAAAUUUCCCUUGGAAUUUGAUAUUCUAUAUCAACGUAGGUGUUGCAUCCACUGGGUUAGUACAACUAAAAGAAACUAACUAAAGUAAAACAAAAUAUCAGAAAAAUAUGGCGAGCUUCUCAUUUUUUUUUAAGUGAAAAAAAAAGAAAACUGAAAUUAAUUAUUUUUAUACCCAAAUUCUCAUGCUCGAAGGCCGCUGGAAUUGGUCAUUGUAAUUUUGUCAUCCUCGUUAUUCACUGGCCAUCGUAGCCUUCCUCCCUUAGAAUGAGAGUCGUUUUUUGGACCACGACAUAAUAAAAAUAGUAUUGAUUAAUACUAAUAAAUUUCUUUUUGAUUAUUUUGCAGUGUAAUAGUCUAGUGCGUGCCAGUGCCCAUCAGAUCACUUGAACAUGUGGUAAAAUUCUGCGAGUCUUUGUAAAAUAAUUUUUAAAUUGUGUAUUAACCAAAUAGCUCAAUGAAGACUAUCGACUCAUUAUUUUAUUUUGUAUAUAUUUAUGAUAAUUGUUGAAAAGAAAAUUGUAAAGUGAGAUUAAUGAACAUUUAUGAAUGUGGAAAUUAACACAACCAGAAUUUAUGAUGAAAUAAUUUUAAGUCAAACGAAUGUAAGUUUGUAUAUAUAUUUUUUGAAUUGUCAUAUAUAUACAAGUUUGUCACUAACAGUAAAUUAAAUUAUGAAUAUUUUAAUAAUUCAAAAUCUCAUUUAACCAUCAGCGUUUAUAGGGUGCGUUUGGCACAUUGUAUUGUAUUAUAUUGUAUUAUAUUAUUUUAAUGCAUGUGUAUUAUAUUAUAUUGUAUUACAUUAACAUUGUAUUAUAAUAAUACUAUACAAUGUUUGGUACUACAUUGUAUUAAUUUUUAAUAAAUAUAUAAUAUUACACUGUAUUAUAUUAAUUUUUUAAUAAGUACUUUAAAUUAUAUAUUUAGAAAAUAACAUUUAUUAGUCGUUAAAAAAUACUAAAUAUAAAAUUCUUAAAUUUUAGAAAUUUAAUAUUAUCUUUCUGGUAUAAACGUUGAAAAAAAAAAUCAUAAUUCUUCGUAAAAAUCGAAAUAAAUAAUUCAAUCAAAUAACCUUCAAAUAAUAUUAUAACAUAAAUAAAUAAUUAAAAUGUACAAGAUUAAGUUAAAAAUCAUUUUAAGAUAAUAAAAUAAAAAUUUAUACAUAGUAUAAAAUAAUAUAGUAACUGUAGUAUAAUAACUAACAAAAUAGACUGUACUAAAUAAUUUAAGUAAUACAACAAUAUUUACAAGUACCGUUUUUGCUAUCUUUCUCUUUUAAAGGCCCCUUUUUUGUUUUAUUCUUAGAACUUCAUAGUUCUUUUGUUUUUUCUUUUUCUUUUUCUUUUUCUUUGCCCCUUUUUUGUUUUCUUCAUAUUUCUUUUGGCUUCAUAAGUUUCUUUUAACUGAGUUAAUAGUGUUGUUAGGUUAAACUAAGUUUGGCUUCAUAAACUUAAAUCUCGUUAAGUUUUCCUUCGAAUAGCUCUCUCUCUUUUAGAGAGGCUUGAAUGGAAAAAUAUUAAGGGGUCGUAAGGACUCAGGUGGUCACUCCUAGUGAGUGGAAAGUAAUCUAAACCAGCAAGCUGUUGGGAUUGAUGUGCUGGUGGAGAAAGUUUCGAAGAGCCAAAGGUAGUGUAAAGCGUUGGGGUACGAGUCAAAGCAAGCAAGUUGAAAGAACUCACUAUCGGCUCUAGCGUUAUUUGCCAUGGACACUGAAGAGCUAAUUCGCAAGUGUCAAGCAAUAAAUAUUAGAGAGGAAGACAAAGCCAAAAUAACACUGGAGGUGAAUCUGGAAAAAAAGAAAGAACUAAUGAUGGCAGGCUGCUUAGUGGGUAAAGUAAUGCUCGCGAAGGGAGUAAAUAAAGAGGGUCUCAAGGCUGCGUUACAGCAGGUGUGGAGGACUUUCAAAGAAGUCAAAAUCGAAAGCGUGGGAAACAACAUCUUCAUGUUUAAAUUUGCUGAGGAAGCAGACAAGAAAAGAGUGUUAAAAUGGGGACCAUGGCACUUCGACAGGGCAUUGAUUGUACUCGCUGAGCCAAGGGGGAUUGGGGAAGUCGCAAAACAAUCCUUUACUCAUACAUCCUUUUGGGUGCAGAUUCGUAAUGUUCCACUAGCGUGUAUGGAUAAAGAUUUUCUCCGGGAGCUGGGUGAGAAGCUAGGAUCAGUUGAAGAGGUCCAAACUGAUGAUAAUGGAGAUUGUAUUGGGGAAUAUGCCAGAAUAAGAGUUUCAAUUAAUAUAACACUGCCGCUAGAGAGGAUUCUAUUUCUAAAGCGAGAAGGUGAAACUGAUAUCCCAAUGCCAGUGGUCUAUGAACGUUUGCCGGAUUUUUGUUAUUGCUGCGGCAUCAUAGGACAUCAAUACAAAGAGUGUGGCAAAUACCAAGACCAACCAAGAGAAGAUUUACCAUAUGGGAGCUGGAUGAAAGCGAUUACGGUAGGGGGCUUCACAAAGAGGAAUCAGAACCAGGGAAGGUGGAACUAUGGGGCUGGAAAAUCGGAUGAAAAAUCAGCAAGCUCAGAAAAUCACAGCUUCCAGCAACAGCAAGGGCAAAACAAAGAAAACCCGAUAGAGGCAAACGGGUCGGUACAAAAUGAGAAGGAAAUGGGGCAAACCAUGGAGCAUGCUAAGAAUGAUGUGAUAGGAGGAGUAGCUGAGCAACAAUUAAUGCAAGGAGUGUCACAGUCAGCGGACAAAAAACAAACUGACGGCCACAAGCAAGCUAAGAAAAGUGGCAAUGCAACAGUCCCAAGGAAAAUGGGCACACAAGCGGGAAAUGGUAUCCUAAACGAGGGGGAAAAAAUGCAAAUAAGUCAUGAAAAGGAAGCUGGAAAAAAUGAUGGGCCGGAAGUCUCUCAGCUACAGCCCAAUAAGAGAAAGUGGAAGAGAUUACUUAGAGAGCUAAGUGAAGGGGGGGAAGAAAUGGAGGUACAAACUCGGAAAAGGCCAAGGGGGAAAAAACUCGGGCAAAGCCCAAGGAAAAAAACAAAACUCUCCAACUCAAACCAGCUCGAGACAAAAAAUCUGAUGCAUGUUUCUUCAACAGCAAGUCUUCAGCUGGGGUGGGAACCGCUGAUGCUGGAAGAGGUGGUAGUUAUGGAAGCAAACAACAUGGAGAUAUCGGCGGAGGCUGGUGGCCAGCCCCGCCGAAAACCAUGAAUAUCCUCAGCUGGAAUGUUCGGGGUUUGGGGAAUCCCCGAGCAUUUCAAGCCUUAAGAAAAAUCCUCCAGUUGCAUGGUGCUCAGCUGGUGUUCUUGUGUGAAACAAAGGUAUCAACCAUGCAAAUGAAUGUAAUUGCAAGUAAGCUGAGCUUCGAGAAUUGCCUUGCGGUAAACGGUAAUGGAAGAGGAGGCGGAAUAGCAAUGCUCUGGAAGUCAGAUAUUGAGGUGCAAAUCAAAUCAUACAGCCAGCACCACAUUGAUGCCGAAACUCAAAUGCCAAAUGGGAAUCAAAUGCGAAUUACAGGAGUGUAUGGGCAUCCGGAAAUAAGCCAGAAAAAGCACACUUGGACGCUCCUCAGACGGCUGGCGGUUUUAUCUUCUAGUCCUUGGUUGUGUUGUGGAGAUUUUAACGAAAUUUUACAUCCAAAUGAGAAGAGGGGCGGCAAUGAUAGAAAUGUGAAUUUAAUUAAUGAGUUUAGAGAAGUCUUGAGAGAUUGUGGCUUAAAGGAUGUCGGGUUUCGGGGGUAUGCUUUUACUUGGAAUAAUGGAAGAUAUGGGGAGGGUUUUGUGGAAGAAAGGUUGGACAGAUUUGUUUGCUCUAAAGCUUGGAGUGAUAGAUUUGUGGACUGUGCAGCAAGUAAUCUGGACUCCUGGACUUCGGAUCAUUGUCCCGUGCUGAUGGUUGUUCAAGAGAGAAGGGAGGGUAUGAUCCAAAGGGGUAGACAUUCCUCGCGAAUCCAUUAUGAGGAUAUGUGGAGUUCGUAUGACGGAUGCAAAGAGAUAAUUAAGGAGGAAUGGGGGCUGUAUAGAAACUGGAGCAGUGAAAAUUCAGCCCAAUCCUUUCGACAAGCAACAAAAACUUCGAUGGGUAGGCUGCUGGGGUGGAGCAAGAGGGAAUUUAGAAAGCGUGACAGAAAAUUAGAGAAGCUGAAGGUUCAGCUGAGGGAGUUAAAACAAAGAAGGGUGCAAUUUGUAGAUGGUGAGGAAAUUCGGAAGGUGGAGAAGCAAAUUCAAAAUAUUCUUAUGGAUGAAGAAAUCUACUGGAAGCAACGUUCAAGAGCAGAUUGGCUCAAGGAGGGGGACAAAAACACAAAAUUUUUUCACGGCAAAGCGACGGCAAGAAGGAAAAAAAACAGAAUUUGGGGGAUUGAAGAUAAUUUUGGGAAAUGGAUUGAGGAGCCAAUCAAAGUAGAGCAUGAGUUUUGCAACUAUUUCACCAAGCUUUUUACAUCAACCCAGCCGAGACAAGAUCAAAUUGCAGCAGCUUUGGAAGGAAUAACUCCAAGAGUUUCAGCCAGUAUGAAUGAGAGUCUGGGGGCACCUUUUACAGCCGAGGAAGUGUUGGAAGCGCUGAGCCAAAUGUGCCCAACAAAGGCUCCGGGGCCGGAUGGUUUGCCAGCCGUGUUUUACCAAAAGCAUUGGCAUUCGGUCAAGGAGGGAGUGCUCACCACUUGUCUGCAUAUCCUUAAUUCACAAGGUACCAUCGGCCCUCUAAACCACACUUACAUUGCUUUGAUACCAAAAAUCGGAAAGCCUAGGAAAGUGACAGAUUUUAGGCCUAUUAGUUUGUGCAAUGUCAGCUAUAGAAUUGUUGCUAAAACAGUUGCUAAUAGAUUUAAGCAAGUUUUGCACAAAAUCAUCUCUCCAUCGCAAAGUGCAUUCAUUCCCAAUAGGCUGAUCACUGACAAUAUAAUAGUUGGCUAUGAAUGUUUGCACAAAAUUAGGCAUUGUAAAAGCAAGCGAAAUGGAUUAAUUGCCUUAAAGCUUGAUGUUAGUAAAGCUUAUGAUAGAUUGGAAUGGAAUUUCUUAGAGCAAACUUUAGAAAAAUUAGGCUUCUCGCAGCAAUGGAUUAGCUUGAUUAUGAGGUGCAUUAGUUCGGUUUCAUUUUCAGUGUUAAUAAAUGGUGCAGUGAAAGGCUUAAUUAAACCUCAAAGGGGCUUACGUCAAGGAUGCCCCCUCUCCCCAUAUUUGUUUAUUACAUGUGCAGAGGCCUUUUCAUCUUUGCUGCAGCAAGCUGAGCAACAACAACUCAUUCAUGGGUUAUCUUUUGGAAGCAAUCUGAAGAUUUCGCACCUCCUUUUUGCCGAUGACAGCCUGGUCUUCAGCAGAGCCUCCAUGGCCGACUGUCACAACUUGAAGAUGAUCCUUGAGUGUUACUCCACAGCUUCGGGCCAAAUUUUUAACUUCGAGAAAUCUUCCCUUUUUAUCAGUGGCAAUGUACAGCAAGAUCAAACUGAGGCUCUUGGGAAUCUAUUUCAGCUCAAUAUUGUGUCGAGACAUGAGAAAUAUCUAGGCUUGCCAUCGAUGAUUGGGAGAAAGAGAAGCAGUUUUUUCAAUGACAUCAAGCUGAAGGUUGCUAAUAAGAUCUCAAGCUGGCAGCAUAAAUUCUUUUCUUGCGGAGGGAAAGAAGUCUUAAUCAAAGCGGCUGUUCAAGCUAUCCCAGCCUACGCAAUGAGCGUCUUUAAAAUUCCAGGGGGUGUUUGUGAUGAUAUUCAAAAGAUGGUGGCAAAGUUUUGGUGGGGCUCCAAGAGGGAAGGGCGGAGUAUUCACUGGGCGCAGUGGGAAAAACUGAGCCAAGCCAAGUGUUUGGGAGGGAUGGGAUUUCGUGACUUCUCAAGUUUUAACCGAGCUCUUCUAGCAAAGCAAGGCUGGAGGAUUCAGCAAUGUCCAGAUUCGCUGGUGGCAAGGGUCCUGCAAGCUAGAUAUUUCCAGUCAACCAAUUUCUUGGCUGCUAAACUCGGCUCAAACCCCUCAUAUAUUUGGAGAAGUCUUCUGUGGGGGAGGAAAAUUAUUUGCGCGGGCUCUAGGUGGAGAGUUGGUAAUGGUCAGAAAAUUCAUGUUCAUAAGGCUAAUUGGAUCCCACGGGCUUCAACUUUCCAGCCAAUAGUUAAGCCAUCUCUGCCCCCUGAUGCUAUGGUCUCGGAAUUAAUCACUGAGGCAAACUGUUGGGAUGAAAAGAGGAUUUAUGAGCAUUUUGACCAUAUGGAUGCUGAUUUAAUUGCUAAGAUUCCCCUGCCUCGAAGUCCAAGGGAGGAUGAGCUGAUUUGGCAUUAUGGAAAAAAUGGCCAAUUCUCGGUUAGAAGUGGAUACCAGACAGCUCUCCAAAUGAAAUUUCCAGCCAUGGCUUCAAGCUCAGUGGUUUCCAAAAAUGAGUGGAAUAUUAUUUGGUCCCUUGCUUUGCCUCAAAAGAUCAGAAUCUUUGCUUGGAGAGCAGCCAAAAACCAACUCCCAUCAGCUGAGAAUCUGUGGAGGAAAAAAAUAAUCCAGAAUCCCAUGUGCCAAGUCUGUAAAAUAGGAACAAAAAAUGUCUUUCAUGCUCUAGUAGCCUGCAAAUCGGCUGAGAAGGUGUGGAAGCUAAUCCAUUUUGAUGAUGACAUUCGUGCAGCUCACAGUCAAGACAUUCUAAGCAUACUGCAUGCUAUGAAAAGGAUGAGAAACAGAGACGACCUGGAGCUGUUGGUAACAAUUUUCUGGGUUAAAUGGAAUGCUAGAAAUCAGAUGAUCUUCAAAGGGAAAAGGGAAACCCCCCAGAUCAUGGUAGCUAAAGCUGAAGCCUUGAUUGCUGCUUAUAAGAGGGUGCAUUCUCCAGAUGAGGCCUGCAGUGAAACAGAGCAGAAAGCACCUCCCCAGAAAUGGAACCCCCCUCAAGCUGGUUUUGUAAAAGUAAACACUGAUGCAGCCAUUUGCUUUGAAAAGAACAUUGUAGGGCUGGGGGUAGUAAUAAAAAAUGUUUUGGGGCAUGUUACAGCAGUUGCUAUCAAGGUUGCUAAGUUUCAUGGAGAUGUUUCUUAUGCGGAAGCAGAAGCCAUGGAAUGGGGUAUGUUAGUGGCGAGAGAGGCCAACAUGAAAGCUGUCAUCAUGGAAUCAGAUUCUCAAGGUGUGGUCAAUUUAGUUAACAACAAGCAGGGCAGCAGAUCAGAGAUCUAUUGGGUUGUGUCAGAAAUUCAGAAUCUAGCGGAAAGUUUCGAUCGUGUUAGCUUUAAAUACACGCCUAGAUCUUGUAAUGUUAUUGCCCACUCUUUAGCUAAACUAGCUUUAGAGAAGUGCGAGAAUGUUGUGUGGAAAGGGUCAUACCCUUCACAAGUGAUGUAUCUCUUUUCUUCUUUAGUUUAAUGGAAAUCUCUUUUCAAAAAAAAAAAAAAAAAAGUUUGGCUUCAUAAGCUUCAUAGUAGAGUGUAGAAUUAGGUACAAUUUUGGAUUAGACAAGUCAAAGGUCUUAUCAAGUAAUUGUUCUGCUUACUGAUUUGGUAAUUGCAACAUUGCUAAAUUGUUCAAUUUGUCCUUUUUAUUUUGUUGAAUUUAUUGUAUGUCAUAUUACUUGAUUUAAUUAUUUUCUCAGAUCUUGUAGGUGAAAAUUUCAGCUUCAAAGACCAAAGCUAAUCAAUCAUCCAGCAAUUCAGUGAAGAAACCAAGACACAGUGGCUCAUAAAUUGUUGUUGGUGAUUGAUCCCAGCCAUUCGGGUGCUCGCCAGUCCUAGAUUAGAAAACUUUCAACGCGGCGCAUAAAUUGCUGUUGAUCUGCUUUAUAUAUUUUGACGUUUGUGAUUUGUGAAUACAUGGUCUGAUUCCAGUGUUUACAACUUUGAAAUUCAAUUAAAAGUUGAGCUGUGAAAGAGUGUGUUGUAUAACUUGAGAAGCAAAUGAAACAAACAGAAAAUGUGUUUUUAUUUUUUUAAUCUAUCUAUGUAACAAUUUAUAGCUGGCAAAGUAAUAGAGUUGUAUACUUGUAUUUAAUUAUUUAUUAUUAUUAUUAUUAUUAUUUUUUUGUAUCCAUGGUGUUUUGUCAUUUCGAAAGUACUUGACCCUUUCACGCUAAGGCACACUCCAGCAGCCGAAACUUUGAGCUUUCAGUUCUUGAUUUUAGCGUGAGGGGUAUCUUUGUCUUUUCAGUAGUCAACACACGGUCAACAAAACAGUCUACAAACAAUCGACCUGUGAACUUGGGUCAAAGCUUUCAUCUUUAAAUCACAUAGGUAGAUCAUGAUUCAAGCUUCAGUUAUAAGCCUUUCAUUGUGAUUGAUAGUAUUCUUUCUUUGAUAUAUAUAUAUAUAUAUAUAUAUAUAGAUUCAUGGUUCUUGAUGGUAUCAUGGAAAAUGCGAACGAAAAGUCAGCAUCUUUGAGUUUUGACUCAUCUUAUCAAACUUGUUGGUCCACUAAUCAAUCAACAGGCACUUGUGAUCUUGAUUAUUUCAACUUAAGGAUGCAAAGCAGCAAUGCCAAAGAGACAUGGCAUGACGCUGAGAUUGUUGUUGAGGGCAAAUCAGUGGCGGUUAAUCGCAGCAUAUUGUCUGAGCGCAGUCAAUUUUUUCGUCGGCUUUUUAAUUUGAGAAAUGAUGGUUCUGUCAGUGAGGAGAAACCCAAGUAUCUUAUGACUGAUUUGGUGCCUCAUGGGAAGGUUGGAUAUGAAGCUUUCAAUGAUAUCCUGCUUUAUAUUUACACUGGGAAGACAAAGGCAUCUCCUCCAGAAGCGUCCACGUGUGUUGAUGACGCUUGUACUCAUGGUGCUUGCCCUCCUGCUAUUAAUUAUGUUAUUGAGUUGAUGUAUGCUUCUGCUGCUUUUCAGAUGACACAUCUCGUUUCGGUUUAUGAGGUAGUUGCGCUUCCCCGCUAUUUGCAUUGCUUAAAUUUAUGCUUGUUGGUAUAGUUUUAACAUAUAUGGAAUUGAAAUCAAUUUCGGUUGUGAAGCAACUUCGGUGGUUCCCAAUAUUAGGCAUUGUAGUAGAUCCAAAAUUAGCUUGUUGAGAAGUGUAGAUACUGUAGAGCCCAAAACUUCGUCUUAUCUUGCAAGAGUCUGUUGUUUUAUUUUGAAAGAGACAAAAGUGAUGAUGAUGGGCAGCGAACUCUAGGAAUCAAUGCUUGCUGACACUGACCCCCAAGAAUCAAUGAGUCUGAAUUUGAUAAGUGCACCUAUCCUAUCACAAAAGCUUUUGCGUUGAGUUUCUAACCAAUUUUCAUUUGUGUAGGUGUCAGUUCAUGCUCUGGCUUGACUGUUCUGUUAUUUAGGUUGUUUUAUCCGUAUUUUCUUCACUCACUUGAUGGUUAGUUCUCUCAUGCUUUCAAGCUCUCAACAGUGAAUGCGGGAGAUUCUAUUUUUCCCGUCCAGUCUAUAACCUAGCAAAUCAUUAAUGCUGUAGAAUAACAUCUUGUGUAGCCGAGUUUAUGUCUCUGAACAUUGGUCCAUCGGCAUUUAGGAUCAAUAUUAUUUUUCCCCCUCAUUAUUAUUUUCCUCCACAGAUUAUCCCCUUUGAGUAUUUGAAUUUUGAAUAUAUUAUUCUGAAUCAAAACUCUAUCUGUCCGUGUAGCAUUUUUUAUAUGCUUUACGAUGUUUACCAAUAAUUACCCACUAUGGGGUAUUUGAAUUUUGAAUAUAUUAUUCUGAAUCAAAACUCUAUCUGUCCGUGCAGCAUUGGCUUCUGAACUUGGCUGAGGAUGCGCGUGUGGAAGAUGUAAUCCCAAUUCUCGUGGCUGCCUUCCAUUGCCAACAGAACAUGCUCUGUUCUUACUGCAUCCAGAGAAUUGCAGGAUCAAAUCUUGACAAUGUUUGUCUCGAGAAAGAGCUUCCUGAUGAAGUUUCAAGAGAAAUCAAAUCACUCCGUGUCAAAUCUAACCAGGAGUCUGAAGCUAAUAUAGCAGAAGUGGAUCCUAUGCAUGCAAAAAUAGUCAGAAGAAUCCAUAAGGCGCUGGACUCUGAUGACUUUGAACUGUUGAAGCUUCUUCUGGAUGUAUCUAAUGUCACUCUGGAUGAUGCUUAUGCUCUGCACUAUGCUGCUGCCUACUGCAACCCUAAGGUUUUUAAGGAAGUGCUCAAUAUGGACUUGGCUGGUCUCAAUCUUAAGAAUGCAAGAGGUCGUACGGUGCUUCAUGUGGCUGCAAGGCGUAAUGAGCCAGAAGUGAUGGUGACUCUGCUGAGCAAGGGAGCAUGCGCAUCAGAAACUACAUCAGAUGGGCAAACAGCUGUAGCAAUCUGUCGGAGAAUGACAAGGCGAAAGGAUUAUAUUGAAGCUUCAAAGCAGGGGCAGGAAACUAACAAAGACCGGUUAUGCAUUGACGUCCUUGAGAGAGAGAUGAGAAGGAACUCCAUGUCUGAGAACUUGGCAAUGUCAUCAGAGGUGAUGUAUGAUCAUUUCCAAGCGGAGCUGGACUAUCUAGAAAAUACAGGUGAUAUUUCUUUACUGGUAUUAGUUCAUCACCUUCUCAGAGUUUGUGCAUAGCACACUUCUUUCUACUGUUUGUUUGUCCCUUCAUAUGGAAAAUAGAGGUGAUAUUCCUUUACUGGUAUUAGUAAAUCAUCUUCUCAAGAGUUUGUGAGUCCCUUCAUUUUAGCAUCUCAAACACACAUGGGCUCAUUGCUUGGGGCACACUGUUGGCCAGUCAUGUGAUUUGAUCCCCUUUUUUGGAAUAGAGAAUUAUGAAUCCAUCUGAUCUAGGCUUGGUGGUUUGCACCGAAGUGGUUUUUGAUAAAUAAUUGUACAAGACUUUGUCAUCAAAAACUUUUUUUUUUGUUUUCCAAAAGUAAUGAGGUACAAAAAUAUUUAUGCCUAUCCUGGAUGAGUGCCAUAACAGCUUCUUAAUAUUUUGCAGUGGCUUUUGUACGGUUGUUUCCUUCUGAAGCUAGAGUAGCUAUGGAAAUAGCUGGUGCAGAUACCGCCACUGGCCUUUCAGCAUUAGGUCAGAAAGGACUAAGUGGGAACUUAAAGGAGAUUGAUUUGAAUGAAACGCCCUCUAUGCAAGCCAAGAGACGCCAAUUGAGACUGCUAACUCUGCUUAAAACAGGUAUUUAUAUACUUUAUUAACUUUUGCACCUUUCUAUUUACUGAUUAUCUUUAUAAUUAACUAAUACAUGUAUCCAGGUUUCUCCUUCCAUUUCAUUAGAAGUAAAUUGGAAUCUCUUUAUAGUGCUCUGUUAGGUGUAAUCAGAUGUAUCAAAAGAGAAAGAGUAAUUGUUAGUACAUUGAUAUCUCAACAAAAUGGUGGAACCUUUCUUUAUACCACUAAAGACAUUUGUUGCAGGAUGCCUACAGAAUCAGUGUGCUUUAAAACUUUCAAGGAGUUCGCAAUGCCUAACCCUUGAAACACUAAAUCUCACGGGAUCAACUCUUUACCUCUAGACCGAAGGUGUGACACCCAGACCCAAUUAGUGCUUAGAACACAUAUCGAAUCUGAGUGAAACUAAAUGCCUGUAAAUCCAAAUCUCCAAAAUAUCAAAAAGUCAUCUACUUUCUCUUUUCAUGUAUUUCACAAAAUUUUGAAAAAUUCAUUUUCAAUCAUAAACUAUGCACAGCUAAAUAUUCAGCAUAUCAGUAUAGAGCAAUACUUCCUCAUAAGCAAAUAAAUCUUACAAUCCUUCUUACAUGAUUUUAAAAAAAUACUAAUAGAAGUCUUCUAGAUACAAACAUAAACAGAAUUCAACUGUUUAAAACUAUGCCAAAACACAAGCUUCAAUCAGUAAUACAUACGACUAAUUAUUAAAAACAUCUAGGCAGAAACCUUACGAAAGCUCAAUCCUUCCGAAGCAUUCUUCAAAUUAAUAAUUGCUACCAUCUGUGAAAAAUAAUUGACAAGGAGUCAGCUGUGAAUUCAAUCAAUAGAAACAUUUGUAACGAACAAAAAUAAUUCUUUGCGCAAUAUUUUCAGAAAAUUCAUUUAACCUUUCAAAUGAAACAGAGUAAUUUUUCUAACGCAGUCAGGAUUUAUAUAAAACACAAACGUUUCAAACAGAAGCUGUGUGGAAUGUAAAUUUUGCUUCUUUAAACAGAAAGUUAUAUAUUAGUUUGAUUUUAAAGGGAGGUUAUUGGGAAGUUAAAAUUGGCAGUUGUGGGAAAAGGGUAAUAGCAGUUAUAAAAUCUCUUUUAAAGCAAAUUCAAAUCAAGUUUCAAAUUUUAGGAGUACUUAAUUCAAUAAAAUAAGGAAUAAAUAAAGCUUUCAUUGAAACAAAACUAAGUAAAUUCAUUUAAAGCAAAAAAGGAUGGGAGCAUUACUAUGGGUUCUUAUGUUUACCCGCAGUCAGGCAUCUGGGACCUUGUUAUUUGGAGACAAGACUUGAUUGUGCCAUGUUUUCCACAGCCAGAUAUAUUUUACUUCAUUAGUUCCUAGACAUCUGUGGAUAAGAGAACCCUAAGCAUAUUGAGAAUAAAUUCCGUAAUCCAAGACUCUUCAGUUCUUUCAUUUGUGGCUAAUUAGUUAUAAAAUUUGUGAAUUUCAUGCCCCAUGCUCCUUGCAAAAUGUAUUUUAUAUCCUUAAGAUGCCAGUGGAUGAACUGAAAUAAUAAAAAAUGGAAGACAGAUUUAAUGCCGACAACAUUUCUUAAGAAAAACUUGGGAUGUUUAUAAUUUUCUUAGAGCAUUUGCUGAACUUUCUGUGAUCGCAGUCGAGACGGGUCAACGCUACUUCCCUCAUUGCUCAGAAGUGGUUGAUCACUUUAUGGAUUGGCCCUAUGCUUCCACCCCAAAAAUGGACGACGAGAAACUUAAAGUAGACGUGCAGGAGGCAUUCUGCAAGGACGUGGCUUAUCACCGUCGUAUAGGGCUGCCAUCAUCCUGGCCGGCAUUUUACCAGUACAUGGCUGAGGGCAAUCAGUCGGCAUUUUACAAGUACGUGGCUGAGAGCAAUCGUUCAGGAAUGGCGACAUCCUCGGCAGCGAGCAAUUAAGCAUCACCUUUCCCUAAAAGUUAUAUUUGACACCUGGAAAACUAAAGGAGUUGAGUGAGCUCUGCUCGAUUGGUAUUUGUAGUUUCUUUUUUUUUUCCUCAAGUGAUCUGGCAUGUAUCAAUUAGUUUGUAAAGUUAAUUGUAUUGUCUCAAGUCCGGUGAGAUGCGCGAACGUAUAGCAUGGAUCACAAACUAAUUGUAUUGUCUCAAGUGAUCACAAAAAGAAUUGUAUUACAAUUGGUAUGAGGCAUGCAUGUGUGUGUCAUAUCAGUUGCUGAACAAACUUUGCCUUUUAGUUUUGUAGGCACUACCAUCUCAAAUUCUCUGUUAUCAUGAAUGAGUAUUUUUUUUUUCUUUUUUUUCUUUUUAACAAAUCAUAAAUGAGAUUAAGAUAAUCUUUUUUUUAAAAAAAAAAAAAAUAGAGAUUUCUUUUAUUUUUCCUUAAAAAACUGAAGAAAAAUUUAGAAGGUAGUGAGAGACGGAGAAUUAAAGAAAUUUUAUUCACAAAUGUAAUGUGUUUGGUGCAGCAAUACAAACUAAUAAAUUAUAAUUUAUGAGACUAGUUUGCAAAAUCUUAUAUAUAAAAUUAUAUCAUCUGAAUAAAAAUCUUCUCACCUCUUUUGACUUCUCAUUUAGAUGUCCUCUCUAGAAUCUCUCUGGCCAUAAACACAUUUUUACAAAACAAAACAGAAGAAAUUAUAUAUAAUUCUCACAAAGACUAUUUCAUUUGCACAUAGUACGCAAUUGGUCACUAAAGUUAUUUGAGGAGAAAAUUUACAUGAGAUGGGUACAUCCUAUUAUCAGUAUUGUAAUUUAAAUUUGAACAUACUAGAAUGGUCUCUCAUAAAUUUUUCUCCAAUUUGAGAGAUGGUGGGGAAGUGGGGUUAAAGUGCAUCUGCAUAGAAUUAAUUAUAAUUAUAUUUAUUUUUUAAAACUAUUUUAACUAGAAGUAGUAGUAAUUCUUUUUAUUAUUGUUAUUCCAAUUAUAUCAAAAUCUCGUGACUCGUGAUCAAAUUAAGUAGUUCAUUAAAUUUUUUUAGGUGACGUACGGUAUGGAGUUUUUAUAAAUCUAUAUAAAUAGUAAAAUAUUUAAUUUUGUUUGUCGUAAACUUUUAAUUUGCAUGGGUUAAAAAAGAAAAAAAGAAAUUGACUUAUUAAUUAAUUAACAAUUAUAGAAAGAAUAAAAAGCAAAUUAGAGUUGCGUGAGAAAACUCUCGUGAAAAGGGUUCCAGAUUUCCUUUCCCUGGCUUCGUGCGUUUCCUGUUUGCCCUUUCGAGCACAAUUCGAAUCCAAUACUUAAUAAUAAAGAUAUAAUAUUAAAAAAUACGAAAAAGAAUCCAAAUUUUUACUGGUAUAUAAGGCAGAGCCAGUUAGAAUUCACAAACCUUAAGCAUACAAUCUGUUUGGCUAGCAGGAAAGUGACGAAGGAAGAAAGAAAAAUAAACUGAAUAAGAGAAUUUUAUUAAUCUCGAAUCACACCCUUACAUUCAAGCUUUCAUCAACUUAUAUUGCUGAUUAACAGAAGUAACAACCUCUGUAACAGCUGUCAAAUAACUAUUGGUUAAGCUAAGCUAAACAAUAACAAUCUAACUAAUUUGUCCAGCUCAGCUAUCCAGCUCAUCAAUCCUAGUCAAGUGAAUCUCAGCCAUUGAUCUGCUGCUGUUGAUUAAGCAUCUCAACACCCCUUCUCAAGCUUAAUGGUCGUGGAACAACAUUAAGCUUGUCUCUAUAGUAAUUAAAAAAAGAGUAAGCCAUAGGCUUUGUAAGCACAUCUGCAAUAUUCCACUCACUUGGUACAUACUUGAUCUCCACUUGUUUGCCCGUUACCUUUUCCCUUAUGAAAUGCACAUCCAACUCUAUGUGCUUGGUUUUGGCAUGAUAUACUGGAUUUGUUGCUAGUGCAGCUGCACCAUUGUUGUCACACCAGAUUAUUGGUAUUUGGCUACACUUCAGUUUAAGCUCUCCAAGUAAAGCUUGAAUCCAAACAAUUUCUGCACAAGCUGUUGACAAUGCUCUAUACUCUGACUCUGUGCUAGACCUUGCUACAGUUUGUUGCUUCUUGGAGGACCAUGAAACCAGAUUCUGCCCAAGAUAUACACAAUAUGCUCCAACUGACUUUCUGUCAUCCACAUCACACGCCCAAUCUGCAUCUGUAUAUGCUGUCAGACUAAUUCCAUCUCCUGCUUUAAACAUCAAUCCAUAAUCUUCAGUUGCCUUUAAGUAUCUUAGAAUUUUCUUACAAGCAACCCAGUGUUUCUCAGUUGGUGCAGCAAGAAAUUGGCUCAACUUAUUAACUGAAAAGGCAAGUUCUGGUCUUGUAAGUACCAAAUACUGUAAAGCACCUAUUAUGCUUUUAUACUCAGUGACAUUAACAAUCAAGUUAUCAUCAUUCCCUGCUCUUCUUAGUUUCUGUCCUGUACUCAUUGGAGUAUCACUUUCUCUGCAAUUUUCCAUAUCAGUUCUUGUAAGCAAAUCUCUUACAUAUUUUGCCUGUGAAAGAUGUAAGCUACCCUUUGCAUCAUGUGUAACCUCAAUACCAAGGAAGUAACUGAACUCACCAAGAUCUUUUAAAGCAAAGGUAUCUCCAAGGUAUUGGAUAAAUGUUUCAAUUACUGUAUUGUUAUCACCAGUAAUUAAUAUAUCAUCUACAUAUACUAACACAGCCACAAUACCUCCAAGUUCAUGUUUGAUGAACAAAGAUGAGUCUGCUUUGGAGUUCUGAAACCCCCACUGCAACAGUGCUUUCCUUAGCCUGUCAAACCAGGCUCUGGGAGCCUGUUUCAAACCGUAAAGAGCCUUAUGCAACUGACAAACAUGACCAGAUGGAGACUGAACAAAACCCUCAGGUUGAAACAUGUAGACAUCUUCAUUGAGCUCUCCAUUAAGGAAAGCAUUGUUGAUGUCGAUUUGUCUUAUUUUCCAGCCCUUCAUCACAGCAAGACUAAGGAUAAUUCUCACAGUUGACUGUUUAACUACUGGACUAAAGGUCUCAAAGUAGUCAAUACCAGCUGUUUGAUGAAACCCUUUUGCCACCAGCCGUGCUUUAUACUUAGAAACAGAACCAUCUGCAUUAUACUUAAUGCGAAAAACCCAUUUACACCCAACAAUUUUAGUAGCUUGAGAAGGUGGUACAAGAAUCCAAGUCUUAUUUUCCAUAAGUGCAUUAUACUCUGCCUGCAUGGCUGCUUUCCAUUUGGAAUCUGAAAGAGCUUGAGAAACUGUGGCAGGCUCUUGUUCUCCAAGAACAGAGGAAUAGGCAUGAAAUUUUGGCUUAAAUACACCUGCUUUGGCUCUUGUAAUCAUUGGGUGAUUUGGCAGUGAAACUUGAGUAGAGGAUGGUUGUUGAUUUGAAGUAUUUUGGGAUACAUAAGGAGAGGUGUGGGAGGGUGGAUGAUUUGAUUGAGAUGGUUGAAAUGGUUGAGAAGAAGGUGAUAAAGAACUAGAUGAGGAGGAAGAAGCUGAAGCUGCAGACAACUGAAAUGGUUGUAUAAUGGUGUUACUUGAGCCUGAAGGGUCAUGAAGUGGAACUGACACUGAAGAUACCUUAAACAUAGGAUAUCUAUAUUCAGAAGCAGAGGAAGAAGGUUGUUUAGAGAAAAGAGAGUCAGUAGAGAAAGGAAAUUCUGACUCAUUAAACACAACAUGCCUAGCAACAUAUACAACACCUUUUGAGCUUAGGCAUUUAUACCCUUUGUGAUCUGAGCUAUAACCAAUAAACAAACAUUUUGUAGUGUGAUAGUUGAAUUUGUGUUUGUUAUAGAAUCUCAGGUAUGGAAAACAGGAGCAGCCAAAAAACUUUAGAAAAUCAUAGUCAGGCUUGUGUUUGAAAAGAAUCUCAUAGGGAGAUUUAUUUGAUGGUAGAACAGAAGUUGGCAAUCGAUUGAUAAGAAAAGCAGAAGUUGAGAAUGCUUCCCACCAGAAACUGAGAGGUAAUUUAGCUUGUGCAAGAAGAGUCAAACCCAUCUCAACAAGAUGUCUAUGUUUCCUCUCUACUGUCCCAUUCUGGUGAUGUGUGUGAGGACAUGGAUGUCUGAAUAAAAUGCCAUGUUUUUGAAGAUAAGGCACAAAGGAUCUGAAUUCACCCUCCCAAUCUGACUGUAGGACCUUAAUGACUGUUUCAAAUUGUUUUUCAACUUGAGUUCGAAAAAUGGCAAAAACAGAUAAAGCUUGAGACUUGGUUUUCAAAGGAUAAACCCAGGCAUAUCUACUAUAAUCAUCAAUGAAACUGAUAUAGUAUCUAUAACCAUUGAGAGAAGUAAUGGGUGCUGGACCCCAUAAGUCAGUAUGGAUGAGUUCUAGAGGUGAGGUUGUUUUGUGUUCAGUUGCUCCAAAAUGCAGUUUAUGAACUUUGCCAUAUUGGCAGGCAUCACAAAAAUCAGGAAUUUGAAUUUUAUUGCUUAACUGCAAAUGUUUACAACUGGUGAGUACUUGUUUCAAGACUUUUGAACUAGGAUGACCAAGUUGCCUAUGUAGGAUAUUUAUUGAAGCACUGGAAACUCUACUGGAAUGAGACAACAGACACUGUUGAGAGGAGUGCUGAACAACUUUAGCUUGAAUAUUUGAAAAAGAACAAGACUGCAAACCAUCUGAGCAAUGUGACACCAUAGACAUAGGAACAAAACAUGACUCUUUAUUUACAGUUGAAAAUAAAGCUUGAUGAGUUUUACUUCCAGGCUCAAGUUUCAGCUUAUACAGACCCUUCAUAGCUACACCCUCCAGCAAAACUGUCCUCUUCUUCUUGUCCUUGAGAAAGCAAGUAUUUCCACAAAAUUCAAUGAUCAAGGAAUUAUCAGAAGUAAGCUUAGAAAUGCUUAAAAGAUUUUUAGUGAUGUGUGGCACAAAUAAAAGAUUUUUGAGCAAUAAUCUAUGAUUUCCAACUGCUAAAUAAGUGCUUCCUAUAUGAGAAAUAGUAAGGCCAUGUCCAUUACCAAUUAAAAGCUUUUCAUUACCUUCAUAAGGCUCACUGAUGCUGAGAUUAUUGAGAUCAUUGGUUAGGUGGUGAGUUGCUCCACUAUCCAGGUACCAGUCAUCAUCCAUUACUGCUUCUGGUGUUGCCAUAUAAGCUGACAUAUUUCUUUGAUUGUAGCCUUGAUUAAAAACUUGAUUUUGAUGUGGAUACCUUGUGACUGGAAUGAAAUCCUUGUUGAACCUAUCCUUGCAGGUAGCAGCAGUGUGUCCUAUAAUGAAGCACACUUGGUAUCUAGGUUGAUAUGGCUGUGAAAAAUGACCAGGCACAUGACUAGGCAUUUGAGUUCUCCCACCUUGAUUCCAAGAUCUUCCUCCAUGCAUGUUAUUUCCUCUUCCACCUUUCCUUCCUCGAUAGAAAUUUCCACCUUGAUUCCCUCUAAAAUUUCCUUGCAUCAUGUAUCCAGAAUUUUCAGAUCUUGAUGCAUUUUGAUUGAAACUAGAUCUUGAGUUGUAUGUUCCAAAACCUUUCUUAUUAUUGUUCCCUUUCUUAACAAAAUUUGCAGCAAACGCCAUAUUUGCAUCCAUAGUUUCAGCUAAAGCUUGUUGUUCUAACAUUCCCUCAUGUGUCAUUAACAUAGAGAGUGAUUCUGAUAAAUCGAGAUCUAAUCCUCUUCCUGUGAUCAAAACUGCUACAGGAUUGAAUUCUGAACCAAUUCCUCCUAACACACUCAUCAUAAAGUCAUAGUCACUCAUUGGUGCUCCUGCUGCUGCCAUGUUAUCUGCUAUGCCUUUCAUUUUGUGAAAAUAGUCAUAAACACUCAAAUCGUUCUUCUUUGUCAACAUCAUUUGAUUCUUCAGUUGCAAUGCUCUGGUUUUGUUUUGUGAGCCAGAAAGUUUUUCCAGAGCUUUCCAAACUUCAAAGGAAGUUUUGUAUCCGAGAACAAUUCCGAGAACACUCUCAGUCAUGGAAGAGAGUAGCCAACCUAGCAACUGCUGAUCAGUUCGCUUCCACAUCACAAACUCAGAGUUCGGAAUCCUCUGAUCUGUGCAUGGUGCUGUGAUUGAACCAUCAAUAUAUCCUUCUAAUCCAUUUCCCUGAAUGGAUGCCAAUACUUGCAUUUUCCAGAUCAAAUAAUUUGAUCUGUCGAGCUUAAUUGGUGUAGGAAAGGUAUAGGAAACAGUUGUGGUUUGAUUUAAGCUUGAUGAUGCCAUCUGGCUCUGAUACCAAGUUAGAAUUCACAAACCUUAAGCAUACAAUCUGUUUGGCUAGCAGGAAAGUGACGAAGGAAGAAAGAAAAAUAAACUGAAUAAGAGAAUUUUAUUAAUCUCGAAUCACACCCUUACAUUCAAGCUUUCAUCAACUUAUAUUGCUGAUUAAUAGAAGUAACAACCUCUGUAACAGCUGUCAAAUAACUAUUGGUUAAGCUAAGCUAAACAAUAACAAUCUAACUAAUUUGUCCAGCUCAGCUAUCCAGCUCAUCAAUCCUGGUCAAGUGAAUCUCAGCCAUUGAUCUGCUGCUGUUGAUUAAGCAUCUCAAAAGAGCCAAAGCGAUAGCGAAACAUCAAAUUGUUUUUAUUUCAACCUUCGCGCAACUUCCGGUGACAUAAUUUUUCUCUGUUUCAGGUACAUACCCAACACUAAACUUUGCAUGUAUCAUUCUUGUACUUUUGUUAUUCUUUUCUUUUCUUUUCUUUUCUCUUUUGCUGUAAUUUUUUAUGAAGCACUCUGUUUCAGUUCUGUUUCUGGUUUUGUUUCGGUUUAAUAUUAUUGGUUCGGUUCUGUUCUGCUCUGUUCUACGUCGUAUGUAUAUAUGUAUAUAUUUUUGGCCUCGAAUUGCUUUCAUCACCGGUUUUGUUAUUCAUUUAUCGUGAAAUUUAGAUGACUUGUUCGGCCAUGUUAUAUUCAGCUACCAUCUUCAUGGUGGGUUUGUAAGAUAGUCUCUGACUAACACAUGGCAUUGAUUAUGAAUGAUGGUUUUGUGAGAUACAUCAUACAGACGUUAACUCGUGUUAAUUUGUACUUACAUCAUUCAAAAGAUUACUGUUUUUCUCUCUUUUUUUUUUAAAAAAAAAAAAAAUUGAAAUGCCCCUUUUCGCAUUUUAUAGAUGAAAGGAAGAAACAUAAUAUCGCAGAACUAGAAUAAAGGAGCCUAUUCUGGUACCUAUUGUCCGAGGAACCUUCUGUAUAUUCGGUAGGAACUACCAUGGGAAGUCAAAUCUUACCAGAGCCAGGCGGAGUCGUUGCUGAAGGAAUAUAUAUUAGCAGAUCCAUUUGUCCCGUACACUUCAAUUGUUGGUAGCAUUUUUGCUUGCACGAUGGUAUGUUUGUCAUCGUUACUGCGUGGUGGUAUAUACUAGAAAAUAUUUUGAAUGCAUAGUUUUUAUUUAAUUAGUUAUAAAUUUUAUACCCUCUGUUUUCCAUAAGAAUGUGUUCCUUUUCAGGUCUAUGAUCUUGCCCAAUUGAUUAGUGUGCUGUUCACUUUAAAUCUGAUUCCAGUUUCUCCAACAUACAGCGGGUCGAGUGGAGUUUAAUCAUUUUUCUUAAAUCGACAACUUAUGCAGGGCCAUAUCAACUGUCCAUGACAUUUUUAUUACAACAAUGUCUUUGUACUUUGUGUUUUGGUCGGAUCUCAGAGUUUGUGCAUAGCACACUUGGUUCUACUGUUUGUUUGUCCCUUCAUAGACAUUUUGAUAAACUGUUAUUUUUGUUCUUUGGAAGUGAAUAUUUUCAGCAACUAGAACUCCGAAGCAUCUGGAGUGAUCCAUUUUGUCAUUCUCAAUACCUAUAAAAGAAUGUCAUAGAAAACAGUUUCCAAAGCAAGUUGCAUGUGUUUUGAAUUUGUCUUUGCAAGCCACUAAUUGCUUGGAGCACACUGUUAACCUGUCGCGAUCCCAUCCACUUUUUUGGAUAGACAAUUGUGCAUCCAUAUGAUCUGGACUAAACUAGUUUCUAAUAAAUAAUUGCCCAAGGAUUUAGUCUCAGUGUUACAGCCCAGUCUUUGUUGUCAAUACUCUUUCCCCUGUCGUGGAUGAGCGCCAUAACAGCUUCUUAAUGUUUUGCAGUGGCUUUUGCACGGUUGUUGUUUCCUUCUGAAGCUAGAGUAGCUACGGAUAGAGCGGAUGCAGAUGCCACCAAUUUUUAUACUGGCCUUUCAGCAUCAAAAUCAAAAGGAUCAAGUGGGAACUUAAAGGAGGUUGAUUUGAAUGAAACACCCUCUAUGCAAGCCAAGAGACUCCAAUUAAGAUUGCAAGCUCUGCUUAAAACAAGUAUUCAUAUACCUUAUUAGUUUUUGUACCUUUACAAUUUGUGAUUUUUGUAUCAAAAGAGAGGUUAAUUUUUAGUGCAUUUACUGAACUUUCUAUGAUUGCAGUGGAGACAGGUCGACGCUACUUCCCUCGUUGCUCAGAAAUGGUUGAUAAAUUUUAGGAUUGUGAUUGGUCCGAUGCUUCCUUCCUAGAAAAGGGUACUCCUGAAGAGCAGAGACUCAAAAGGGCACGCUUCAUGGAACUUAAAGAAGGCGUGAAGAAGGCAUUUUACAAAGACAUGGCUGAGAAAAUAUGGCUCAGGUUUGUAGUCAUCCUCGUCGUCGUCAUCUUCUCCCAAGGAAGGAGUAAAGUGUAAGGGUAGGAAAAGGUGAUGCUUAGCUGCUUGUCUUUGUUAUUCAUUUAUAGGCAACUAAAAGAGUUUUAGUGAGUUGGAUUGUUACGUUGUACAGAGAUACUCUUAGAGCCUAUGUUAUGGCUUAUGUUGUAUAAUAGCAGAGGAACUUCAAGCUUGCGUUGUUGUAUUUUCCCUGGUAUUUGGCAUGUAAUGCACUAAAUGACAAAGAAUUUUCUAAUUUUAGAGGGAAAAGUUAUGUCAGUUAAUUAUUUAUUUAUUUUGUCUGUUUAAUUCAGUUUAUAAUAUAGCUUUUUUUUUUUCUUUCCAAAAAAAUCUUCAUUUCUUCAUCUGCAAUUUAAGUCAUUUGUAACUUCUUUCAGGGAGGAGAGAGAGAAAAAAAGAAAAAGAAAAAGAAAAAGAAAAGAGUUUAUUUUACAGUACUGAUUUUCCUACAGAAAUUGGUUAAGGUGACAUUAAUGUUCUUUGAGGUGGACGGAUAUGCAGAUUUUUCGUCGAAAUUGAAAUUAGAAAUGGAUGGAUAUGCAGAAUUUUUUAAUAGAAUUUUUAUACAAAAAUUUGUAGCUCAUUACUCUCUAAAAGGAAAAAAUAAAUUUUUGAUGGUAAAUAUUAAAUUUUAAAUUUAUAAUAUAAUAACUUUGUGAGUUAAGGUGCACAAUACCCAUAUAUUAAUAAUUAAGAAAAGAAAAAAAAAUUAAAAUUUGUAAAUUACCAAUUUUUUCUUGAAAUUUGAUAUUCUAUAUUAACGUAGGUGUUGCAUGGACUGGGUUAGUACAAUUGAAAGAAACUAACUAAAGUAAAACAAAAUAUCAUUAAAAAUAUGGCAAGCUUCUCGUAUUUUUUAAGUGAAAAAGAGAAGAAAACUAAAAUUAAUUAUUGUUAUACCCAAAUUCUAGUGCUUGAAGGCCGCUGGAAUUGACCAUUGCAGUUUUGUCAUCCUCAUUAUUCACCGGCCAUCGUGGCCUUCCUCCAUUAAAAAAAUAAAUGACCAUUUUUUUGGACCACGACAUAUUAAAAAUAGUAUUGAUUAAUACUAAUAAAUCUCUUUUUUGAUUAUUUUGCAGUGCGAUAGUCCAGUGAGGGCAGUGCCCAUCGUAGCACUUCAACAUGUGGUAAAUUUCUGCCAAUCUUUGUAAAAUAAUUUUUAAAUUAUGUAUUAACCAGAUAGCUCAAUGAAAACUAUCGUUCACUAAAUCAUUACUUUAUUUUGUAUAUAUUUAUGGUAAUUGUUGAAAAGAAAAAUGUAAAGUGAGAUUAAUGAACGUUUAUGAAUGUGGAAAUUAACACAACCAGGAUUUAUGAUAAAAUAAUUUUAAGUCAAAUGAGCAUAAAUUUGUAUAAAUAUUUUUUGAAUUGUCAUAUAUAUACAAGUUUGUCACUAAUAGUAAACUUAAUUAUGAAUAUUUUAAUAAUUCAAAAUUUUAUUUAACAAUUGGUGUUUAUAGUGUUUUUCAUAAUACAAAAUUGUAAACAGUCUCAUCCUGAAUAGUAUAAUGCCAAACCUUUUCAAAAAUUUAUUCUAUUAUAGUCGUCUUAGUCAAUUAUAUUUAUUUUCAAAUUGAAGAUAAAAAUAGUACUUCAUAUAUCAUACAUUACUUAUAGUUUUUUUUUUUCAAUCAAAUUACGACUAAAAUUGAAAAAUUUACCAAUGGCUAUAUACAAAGUCUGAUUCUCAUGAGCUUAAAAGAUGGGCUUUGAAUGAUGUAUGGUACUCAAAACUCUACUUUUAUUAAUAUGAUUGCCCUGCUUCCUUCAUGACGGGUAAUUUUUAGUUUCUUCCCCUGAAGUUUGGCGUAUCUCCAUUUUAAUAGGAAGUAUUAGCGUAUCUCCCACUUUUCUCCCCUACCGUUUGUAUACCGUUUCAUAUUGUUAAUGGACGAAGCUACAAGUCUUCUCUUUCAUCAAAUCGAUCCAUAACAAAUACGAGUCUGCUUCACCUAACCAAAACACACGCAUACUCCAUCUCUAAAUGCUUUGAAGAUAAACAAAUCAACGGUAAUCCUGCAACUUUAGCUCAGAGAAUCGGAUAAGAAAAGAACAGGUGAUGAAUCAAGGGUAAUGGCGCCGAGUGAGUGUCGCCUGCGGUCGGCGUUAGAGGCGACUGUCACUCAAUCGCGUACAAGGUUAGUCUUUGAAAAAACUCUUUGCACGUUAGAAAUCAGUGAUUGGGCAUUAUUUUGUUAUUUAAAAAUGAAAAUGGGUUUAUUAGUUUGUCGAAGAAUCUGCUCUGUUGCCGGUGUUGUUUGUUGAUUAAAAUGAAAAUGGGUUUGUUGAUGUGUUGAAGAAGUUGCUCUACUGCUGGUGUUUUUUUAUUAAUUAAAAUGAAAAUGGGUUUGUUAAUUUAUUGAAGCAGCUGCUGGCAUUGUUAUUGCGACUUUAUUUAUCCAAUUGAUGAGCUUAUGAGCUAAUAGUAUUGUUUGAUCAAGCUUGUGUUCUUAAUAGUGGAGUUGAUAUUCUUAAAAAUGAAUUUAUGAUUAUGAGAAUAUGAAAAUUGAAUGGCAUCGUAGAGAUCUAGAUUAAUCACCAUCGUAUAUGUUUCUAAAUAAAGGAAUAAGCAGCAAUCUGAUUUGAAAGUUAAGACUUUAGGGAUAUGUAUGUGCAACUGAAUGAAUCAUCAGUUGCUAUCUUGUAAGUCAAUACUAGCAUAUUACUUAAUGGCAAGUGAAGCUAUUUUAUGUGUAUUGCUGCCUAUCAAAAUGUUUAUGUUUGAAGUUAUCUCCUUUUAGGAAAUUGAAUGCUUCUGUGAGUUCUCUGGUAAGGGCUAUACAACUAGCUCUAAUAGAUUCCUUCAUGUGCAUUAAUUAGCUUAGUAGUUUAUUGACCUAUAUCCAAUGUCUAUUCUUCUUUUCUGUAGCCGUCUAGUUUUAUGAGUGUGUGAAGUGAACUUUUGUUUUAUGUUUCAGGACUUGGGAUUAGAGUGUAUAACAUUCAAUAUCUUUUUAUCAAAGAACUGAUAUAUGUCAAUGUAGUGCGAUCUGGUCUUUAUUAGCUUCUUGAUUUGCCAGGAUGUUUGACAACCAUCUUUGACCAUGAUUGCCAACAUAUAAGCUGCUACAUAGUGUCUCAGGAAUCACAGCAAAUUAUUAUCAUAAUAUGGUGAUUUUGAAUCCAAAACUUGGUAGUGUCAAGAAAAUAGACCCAUGUUUAUUUAUCUUCAUGUUUUGUAUGCGGCUGCAAUAGACUAUUAUAAGUUACUUUUAGUUUUAUCAAGUUUUUUUUUCCUUAAAUUUCAUCGAGUCUUGGAGUCUUUGUAAUAUAGAGUCUAAGUGAAGAAUACUUGGGUGAAAUCUUGUAUUCUCUCUUCCAGUAAUAUAAUCAUCCUUUGUGUUUUUAUCUUUUUAUUUUGGUAUCAGAGCAUACUUUAUUAUAGAAGGACUUAGACUCUAUAUUACAAAGACUCAGCGGUUUCUUUUAACUGAGUUAAUAGUGUUGUUAUGUUAAACUAAGUUUGGCUUCAUAAGAUUCAUAGUAGAGUGUAGAACUGGGUACAAUUUUGGGUUAGACAAGUCAAAAGUCUUCUCAAGUAAUUGUUCUGCUUACUGAUUUGGUAAUUGCAACAUUGCUAAAUAGUUCAAUUUGUCCUUUUAUCUUGUUGAAUUUAUUGUAUGUCAUAUUACUUCAUUUAAUUAUUUUCUCAGAUCUUGUAGGUGAAAAUUUCAGCUUCAAAGGCCAAGCUAAUCAUCCAGCAAUUCAGUGAAACCAAGACACAGUGGCUCAUAAAUUGUUGUUGGUGAUCCAGCCAUUCGGGUGCUUGCCAGUCCUAGAUGAGAGAACUUUCAACGCGGCGCAUAAAUUGUUGUUGAUCUGUUUUAUAUAUUUUGACCUUUGUGAUUUGUGAAUACAUGGUUUGAUUCCAGUGUUUACAACUUUGAUACUGUGUAUAACUUGAGAAGCAAAUGAAACAAAUAGGAAAUGUGUUUUUAUUUUUUUUAUUCUAUCUAUCUAUUUAUUUUUUUGUUUCGAAAUGUAACAAUUUAUAGCUGGCAAAGUACUAGAGUUGUAUACUUGUAUUUAAUUCAUUAUUAUUAUUUUUUUAAUGACUCAGUAACGUCAUUGUCCAUGGUGUUUUGUCAUUUCGAAAGUACUUAACCCUUUGACGCUAAGGCACAUUACAGCUAGGGAUGGCAAUGGGGAGGGGAGGGGAGGGGAUCGAUCUCCCCGUACCCAUCCCUGAUAUUUUGCAUAUGUCCAUGUCCCCGUCCCCGUCAGAAUUACUUGAGAGAAUCCCCAUCCUCUCUCCGAAUAAUAACAGGGGAUCCCCGAAUAACUAAUACAUUUUUAUUUUUUUUUCGAUUUUGAGUUAAUCAUAUUAAAAUAAAAAAUUUAAAUAAAAGUAAAGUUCGAAAUAUAUCUUACAUUAAUAUCUAUUACAAAAGUUACAUACAUUAAAUUAGUAAGUAACGCAACAUGCAAGGGAUACAAACUUCUUUUACAAACUAUCAUGAAUAAAUUAAUAGUCUAAUACAAAAUUGUUACAAAUAAAAUUGAAUUUAGAUUCAAAAUUAACUUUUUCAAUAGUGGCGUGGGCACUUUAUAAAUGUGGACUAUUCCCUUUACAACACAAUAGUUAAAUCGGAGCAAAUCAAAAGUAAAUAUUAGAUUAGAUUAGAUUAAAUAUUAAAAUUGUGAUUCGCUGUGGGCAAUUAUAACAUCUAAAAAUAAAUAAAAAAUAGAUUUAAGUUUAAAAUAUUUAAAGAAUAUUAAAAUUAAAAAAAAUGUUGGGCUAAUAGAAUAUACUCGGUCUUUUUAAUGUCCUAAAUAAAAAUUUAGGACUUUAAUUAGUUAAUUAGGCCUAAAAAUUUAAUAAUAUAAAUAUUUUGAUAUUUUUUAUUUUUACCAAUAUUUAUAAUUUAAAUUUUAUUAUUUAUUUACUAGUAAUUUUAAAAAAUUAAAAUAAAAUUAAAAAUUAAAAUGGGGAAAUGGGUAGGGGAUGGGGAUUCCACCUCAUCCCCGUCCCCUCCCCGAAUAAGAAAUUGGGUAAAAAAAUUUCUUCGUCCCUUUCCCGAAUAAGAAAUUGGAUAUGAAAUUAUUCGUAUACCCUCCCCGAAUGGAAAAAAAUACCCGAGAGUACCCGUCUCCAUGAGGAUUUUUGCCAUCCCUAAUUACAGCAGCCGAAAUUUUGAGCUUUCAGUUCUUGAUUUUAGCGUGAGGGGUAUCUUUGUCGUUUCAGUUGUCAACAAACAAUUUGGGGGGGGGGGGGGGGGGGGGGGGGGUGGGUUGUUGGAGAUACGCUGAUACUUUCUAUCAUACUGGAGAUACACCUAACCUCAGGGGAGGAAAAUUACACCUUUACGACGUGUGAACUUGGGUCAAACUUUCAUAUUUUAAUCAAGUAGGUCGAUCACGAUUCAAGCUUCAGUCAUAAGCCUUUCGUUAUGAUUGAUAUUAUUCUUUCUUGAUAGUAUCAUGGAAAAUGCAAACGAAAAGUCAGCAUCUUUGAGUUUUGUCUCAUCAUAUCCGACUUGUUGGUCUACUAAUCAAUCGACAGGCCCUUUUGAUCUUGAUAAUUUGAACUUAAGGAGGCAAAGCAGCAAUCCUGAAGAGCCAUUGCUUGAUGCUGAGAUCGUUGUUGACGGCAAAUCAGUGGCAGUUAAUCGCAGCAUAUUGUCUGCACGCAGUCGUUUUUUUCAUUGGCUUUUUCAUUUGAGCAGUGAUGGUUCUGUGAGUGAGGGGAAACCCAAGUAUCUUAUGACUGAUUUGGUGCCUUAUAGGAAGGUUGGAUAUGAAGCUUUUAAUGAUAUCUUGCAUUAUCUUUACACUGGAAUGCGUAAGGCACCUCCUUCAGAAGUGUUCACGUGUGUUGAUGAUACUUGUGUUCAUCUUGUUUGCCCUCCUGCUAUUAAUUAUGUUAUUGAGUCGAUAUAUGCUUCUGCUGCUUUUAAGAUGACAGAGGUCGUUUCGGUUUAUGAGGUAGUUGCGCUUUCCCGCUACUUGUAUUGCUUAAAUUUAUGCUUAUUGGUAUAGUUUUAACAUAUGUGGGAUUGAAAUCAAUUUCAGUUGUGACUUGCAAAGAGCCAAAGAAUCUGUUGUUUUAUUUUGAAAGAGACAAAGAUGAUGAUGAUGGGCAGUGAACUCUAGGAAUCAAUGCUUGCUGACACUGACACCCAAGAAUGAUAAAAACUAACCAAAAAGGUAUAUAGAUUACAUGAGUCUGAAUUUGAUAAGUGCACCUAUCCUAUCGCAAAAAGCUUUUGCGUUCAGUUUCUAACCAAGGAAAAUUGUCACUUCUGUCUGUAGGCUUCAUAGAUUUGUUCAAGCCUUCAAGGAUGUCUAGCUGUUACUUAGGGUCCAACAAUGGUGCUACAUUUCUAGUGAAUGAUAUGUUAUCUACAUCUGUAUAUUGGAACUUUGACAAACUUCGCCUUUCCUUUGUUGAUACACUCGUCUCACUUUUAUUAAAUUGCCUGAUUAUGAAAUGGUCUAUUGGAGACUAGCAUUGGAAGGUUUCUUCUGGAGAAAAUUUUACUUGCCACCAAUUUUCAUUUUGGUCGGUGUCAGUUCAUGCGCUGGCUUGAUUGUUCUGUUAUUUAGGUUGUUUUAUCCGUAUUUUCUCACUAUCUUGAUAGUUAGUUCUCUCAUACUUCCAAUCUCAGCAGUGAAUGCGAAAGAUUCUCUUUUUCCUGUCCAGGUUAUAACCUAGCAAAUCAAUAAUGCUGUAGAAUAACAUCUUGUGUAGGUGAGCUUAUGUCUCUGAACAUUGGUCCACCGGCAUUUAGGUUCGAUAAGCAUGGCAUUGAUUUUCCCCCUCAUUGUUAUUUUCCUGCACAGAUUACCCCCUUUAAGUAUUUGAAUUUUGAAUACAUUAUUCUGAAUCAAAACUCUAUACGUCCGUGUAGCAUUUUAUAUAUGCUUUAUGAUAUUUACCAAUAAUUACCCACUGCGAGGUAUUUGAAUUUUGAAUAUAUUAUUCUGAAUCAAAACUCUAUCUGUCCGUGUAG